AAAAAAAAAAAAGAUAGGGGCUCACAUUCCCACAGUCUUCCCUGGAGGGGAAGGAGGCUCUUCUUCCAAAAUGCACUUGCUCCUUGCAAGAGAUGGGGUGCAGGUGGAGGUGCAGCAGCAGCGCUCAUGGAGCAGGAGCUCUGAGCUUUCCAGAUGCUAGGGCAAGGCAUGGGAGUCCCAUUCUGUCCAUCAGAAAUGUUGUUUGAGUGCCAAUCACCAUAAAAACUGUCAACCUGCCCCUGCCAACUUCACCCAGAGUUAUUCAUAAUGACAAUGGCUGCCACUAUGGAGGCCCACCAUGUGCCAGGGACUAAGGUGCAGACUUUUGUAAAUACCAUCUCGACUUUUUGUAAUAGCACUACCAUUUUCCCCAGAGAACCCACCAGGAGCUAUUUGCCACAUGGAAUUGUGGUCAUUUGAAGAGUCCUAGUGGACUGCAAAUACCUUGAGGGCAGAAAUAGUGUUUUGCAUAUCUUUGAUCACCAAAACCAAAUAUGGGGCCUGAAAUAAGUCUUAAAGAAAUGUUUGCUGAACAAAUCAAUGUGUGAAUGAAUACAUAAAUAAACGAAAUGAAGUAUUAAUAGUACUUUCUUG
rnacentral:lncRNA from 10 species